UCCUGUCCGGGCAGAUUUAAAGGAACAGUCACACAUUUUAAAGUGCUCAAAUUAUGCUUUUUUGGCUUUACCCCUUUCCUUUAUAGUGUUUUAUAUCUUGUAGUGCACCU